rnacentral:rRNA from 1 species
UCGCCUGUUUUUCAAAAACAUUGUCUUAUGAAUAUCAUAUAAGAUAGUACCUGCCCAGUGACACAAUAUUCAACGGCCGCGGUAUCCUAACCGUGCAAAGGUAGCAUAAUCAUUUGCCUAUUAAUUGUAGGCUAGAAUGAAGGGGUUAACGAAAUAAAAACUGUCUCAAUUAGUUAACUAAAAAUUAUUUUCUACACGAAGAAUGGUAGAUAAACUCGAAGGACAAGAAGACCCUAUAGAGCUUAAUUUUAUUUAUAGAUAUACUAUAAGAAUAUUCGGUUGGGGCGACCCAGGGAUCAAUAAUCACCCAAUAUAUAAAAGAUAAAUUAAUCAAAUAAAUGACCCUUUAAAGAUCACUAAAUCAAGCUACCUUAGGGAUAACAGGCUAAUCCCACUUAAGAGUCCUUAUCAACAGUGGGGUUUGGCACCUCGAUGUUGGCUUAGGGUAUCUAUAUAGCGCAAAAGUUAUAUAAAGAUGGUUUGUUCAACCAAUAAUUCCCUACGUGAUCUGAGUCC